AGUAAUGUGACUGAGCGGCGGACGGGUGAGUAACGCGUGGGUAACCUGCCUCAUACAGGGGGAUAACAGUUAGAAAUGACUGCUAAUACCGCAUAAGCGCACAGUACCGCAUGGUACAGUGUGAAAAACUCCGGUGGUGUGAGAUGGACCCGCGUCUGAUUAGCUAGUUGGCAGGGCAGCGGCCUACCAAGGCCGACGAUCAGUAGCCGGUCUGAGAGGAUGAACGGCCACACUUGGAACUGAGACACGGUCCGAGACGUCC
rnacentral:rRNA from 1 species